UACGUAGGCAGCAAGCGUUGUUCGGAGUUACUGGGCGUAAAGGGUGUGUAGGCGGUUCUUUAAGUCUGUUGUGAAAUCUUCCGGCUUAACUGGGAGGGUGCAGCGGAAACUAGAAUGCUAGAGGGUGGGAGAGGUAAGCGGAAUUCCUGGUGUAGCGGUGAAAUGCGUAGAUAUCAGGAGGAACACCUGUGGUGUAGACAGCUUACUGGACCACUUCUGACGCUGAGACACGAAAGCGUGGGUAGCAAACAGG
rnacentral:rRNA from 1 species